AGGUGGGGAGAAAUAUUUGGCACGUUAUGAGAUCAAGGUCUUGGCAGUUGUAGAUUUCUGAAUUUACAGGUAGACUGUGCUGUUGCUAUGUCCUUGAAAAAUUAUUCAGAAACACCUUGAGGUCUGCCACAAGUAGUAGUGUACCUGCAAGAUGUUCAGAGCCCUUCGCAUAUCUCCGCUGGAAAGAGCUACAAGUGCUUUCAUCCCGUCUUCACUUAUGUCAACUCUGAAAGGAGAGGCAGAAGGGAUGCAGAGGCCGCUGAGCACAGGCACUGAGGGAACAAGAUGGCCUGCAGCAAUUACAGCUUUGAAACAAUGAAAGAAGGGAUGGAGUGAACAAUACUCCCCUGAUCUACAGGGUCUAGAAUUCACUCUGGUUUUAGGGAUGCUUCACACUGGUAGUCACAGCCCACUCUGAGUCUAGGAGGCCCCUUACUUAAGACCAAGUAUUGGCUAUGUUCAGCAAACUGGCUUUGAAUUUUAUUAUCUGCAGAGGAAAGGGCAUGGCAAGAUUCAUGAUCACACAGCCAAAGCACCUCCUUUCAAAAAAGCAGCAGCUUGGGCUGGCUACUUGCUUGGCAUCCGACUAUACAGAAUGUAAUGUCUCAGUACCUUCCUUUCUAAUCAAAAAGGGCUAGAGGCGUCUUAGCGGAGGGACUUGGCAGCAUACAGUUUCCAAUGACAAGAGCCAGGAGGAAACUGGGACAGCUUCCAGGGGAGGAGGAUGAAAUCAAAAGAACCAAAUGAAUUUCAUGAAGAUGUACAUGAGCUACCAGGGAAAAUGACAGCCCCCGAUGCUCACCUGUGCUCGGCACUCUGCUGUCAUUUACCAACAUUAUCACCUCUGUUUAGCACAGGCUAGGAUGGUGGAUGUCUUUCCUGUCCCUGGAGGACCAUAGAGAAGCAAGUGCGGCAGUCGAUCUUCACUGAUGAAUCUUUGAACUGAGGAUUGGGGAGAAAGAAACACCAUCAGUUUCUGAGUUACAUCAUCCACUGUGGGUCCUUGAGUUGGGUUCAAUACUUCAACCCUAUGUUCAAAUCAGCAGGAAUGAAAAAUCUGAAGGACUCACAGCAGCAUUCCAUAAAGCUUAAUCAGAUCUUCAAAGUUAUUACUCAGCAAAGACAACAUUACAGGUCCAAGAAAUGUAUACAGGUCCUUCAACUAGGAUAACAGCAACUGACACAAGGAUGCUUACUGGUACUCAAAAUGUCCUGAUGAGAAAUGAGAUCAUUCAGUGUCUGUGGACGGUAUUUUUCAACCCUGAAAUACAAUUUAGCAUGGAUCACAAUAAAUAUAAAUGCAGGAACAUU